CAGCAGGGUGGGAGGGAGAUGCUUCUGGUACAGAGGCUUGGGGUUUUGAGGGCAUCUUAGCAGUAUCUCCCAUCCACCCACCUGGG
rnacentral:miRNA from 1 species